GACGAACGCUGGCGGCGUGCCUAAUACAUGCCAGUUGAGCGAUGAAGAUUGGUGCUUGCACCAAUUUGAAGAGCAGCGAACGGGUGAGUAACGCGUGGGGAAUCUGCCUUUGAGCGGGGGACAACAUUUGGAAACGAAUGCUAAUACCGCAUAACAACUUUAAACAUAAGUUUUAAGUUUGAAAGAUGCAAUUGCAUCACUCAAAGAUGAUCCCGCGUUGUAUUAGCUAGUUGGUGAGGUAAAGGCUCACCAAGGCGAUGAUACAUAGCCGACCUGAGAGGGUGAUCGGCCACAUUGGGACUGAGACACGGCCCAAACUCCUACGGGAGGCAGCAGUAGGGAAUCUUCGGCAAUGGACGAAAGUCUGACCGAGCAACGCCGCGUGAGGGAAGAAGGUUUUCGGAUCGUAAAACUCUGUUGGUAGAGAAGAACGUUGGUGAGAGUGGAAAGCUCAUCAAGUGACGGUAACUACCCAGAAAGGGACGGCUAACUACGUG
rnacentral:rRNA from 1 species